AUCCAGCUGAAGAGUCCCAAAUAGGAUGAAACAAGUAUCCUGGAU
rnacentral:hammerhead_ribozyme from 1 species